rnacentral:rRNA from 1 species
CAGUAGCCGCGGUAAUACGAAGGGGGCUAGCGUUAAUCGGAAUUACUGGGCGUAAAGCGUGCGCAGGCGGUUAUAUAAGACAGAUGUGAAAUCCCCGGGCUCAACCUGGGAACUGCAUUUGUGACUGGAUGACUAGAGUACGGCAGAGGGGGAUGGAAUUCCGCGUGUAGCAGUGAAAUGCGUAGAUAUGCGGAGGAACACCGAUGGCGAAGGCAAUCCCCUGGGCCUGUACUGACGCUCAUGCACGAAAGCGUGGGGAGCAAACAGGAUUAGAUACCCCCGUAGUCCCUGUCUCUUAUAC